rnacentral:rRNA from 1 species
CGGAGGGUGCAAGCGUUAUCCGGAUUCACUGGGUUUAAAGGGUGCGUAGGCGGGCAGGUAAGUCAGUGGUGAAAUCCCCGAGCUUAACUUGGGAACUGCCGUUGAUACUAUCUGUCUUGAAUGCCGUGGAGGUAAGCGGAAUAUGUCAUGUAGCGGUGAAAUGCUUAGAUAUGACAUAGAACACCAAUUGCGAAGGCAGCUUGCUACACGGUUAUUGACGCUGAUGCACGAAAGCGUGGGGAUCAAACAGGAUUAGAUACCCUGGUAGUCCACGCCCUAAACGAUGGAUACUCGACAUCAGCGAUACACUGUUGGUGUCUGAGCGAAAGCAUUAAGUAUCCCACCUGGGAAGUACGACCGCAAGGUUG